rnacentral:rRNA from 1 species
UACAGAGGUCCCAAGCGUUGUUCGGAUUCAUUGGGCGUAAAGGGUGUGUAGGUGGCGCCGUAAGUCGGGUGUGAAAUCUCGGGGCUUAACUCCGAAACUGCAUUCGAUACUGCGGUGCUUGAGGACUGGAGAGGAGACUGGAAUUCAUGGUGUAGCAGUGAAAUGCGUAGAGAUCAUGAGGAACACCAGUGGCGAAGGCGGCUCACUGGCCCGAUACUGACGCUGAGGCACGAAAGCGUGGGGAGCAAACAGG